rnacentral:rRNA from 1 species
UGAAGUAGAAAUUUAUUUAGUUUGUUUAAGAUUUAAUAUUGUUUUUUUUUAAAAAAGUAAUUUUAUUUUUUUUAAAAGUUUUAGUAUAAUUAUUAGAAAAGAUUAAUUUUGUGAUAGUUAAUUAGUACUGUAAAGGGAUGUUGAAAUAAAAGAAAAUGUUAUUUAUGAAAAAGUAAAUUGUUUAUUGUACCUUGUGUAUCAGGGUUUAUUAAUUUUAUAAUAUGGAUAUAUUUUUCCCGAAUUAAAAAGAGUUAAUAUAUUAAUUUAGUUAAUGUUGUAUAAUUAUUAAUAAUUGUAUAUUAGUGGUGAAAUAUUAUCGGUUUUUAGGGUAUCUGGUUUUUUAAGAGAUGAAUUUAAUUCAGUUUAAUUUAGUAAUAAUUUAAUUAAUUAUUAAAGGUGUCAUUAAGUUAAAAUAAUAUUAUAGGGGAUUAGCUCUGUAUUAUUAAUUAUAAAUUUUAUAAGAAGUUAUUUGGUUAUAGGCUUUAAAUUAGCUAUUAAUAGUAAAAUUGUUAUAAAUUAUUAUAAGUUGAUUGAAUGAUUUUAUAAAAUUUUUAAUUUGUUUAUUAAAAUGAAGUAUUUAAUUGUUAAAUGUUUAUAAUAAUGAUAAAAUUAGUAAAUAUAUUGAUUUAUAUGUGUGGUGUGAAGAAUUUUUUUAUUGAUAAUUUGUAUUAAGGAAUUCGGCAAAACUCAAUGCUCGCCUGUUUAACAAAAACAUGUCUUUUUGUGUAUAAUUUAAAGUCGGGCCUGCCCACUGAGGAAACUUAAAGGGCCGCGGUAUUUUGACCGUGCAAAGGUAGCAUAAUCAUUAGUUUUUUAAUUGAAGGCUAGAAUGAAUGGUUUGACGAGGUAUUAACUGUCUCAAGACAAUUGGUUGAAUUUAUUUUUUAAGUUAAAAAACUUAAAUAUUAAUAAGGGACGAGAAGACCCUAUAGAGCUUUAUAUAAUUAUAUAUUUGCAAUUUUAGACGGGUUCUUGUAAAUUAUAGAUUAUAUUAUGUUGGGGUGACAUGAAAAUAUAAUUAACUUUUCAUCUAUUUAAGAGACGUUGAUUUACGGAAGAAUGAUCCAAUAUUAGUGAUUAUAAGAUAAAGUUACCUUAGGGAUAACAGCGUAAUUUUACUUGAGAGUACAUAUCGAAAGAAGAGAUUGCGACCUCGAUGUUGGACUAAGAAAAUGACUGGGUGCAAAGUUUUAGUUAAUAGGUCUGUUCGACCUUUAAAUUCUUACAUGAUCUGAGUUCAGACCGGCGUGAGCCAGGUCGGUUUCUAUCUUUAUUAAUUUAGAAUAUCUUAGUACGAAAGGACCAGAUAUGAAAAAUAUUUUUUGUAAUGGUUUAAUAUUAAUACG